UAUUUUUAAAAUUAAACCCGCAAAUAAUGUACAUUUUCACCGACAAGAAGCGUCCGGUAAGAAUGAAAGCCAACUUCAUUUUUUUUUUACUUCCCUCCAAUUUCUUCUAUCUUUUCAAAUUCUCUGAUCUGCCCGCAUUCUGCCCCCCGCCGCCGCCGCCGCCAAGAGUAAACCCAACUCAUAUCUUUCAUUUUUUCCGGCUACCAUGGAAAUUCAGGUAUAAAGCUUUUAGGGUUCACAUGAAUCUGAAAGAACCGAGUAGCUUUUGGGUCAGUAAAUGGUGUUUCUUCUGGACUUUUUAUUUGCUUUGUGUUUAUACAUGCUUGUUUAUAUGUCUCGUGGUUGCUUAAUUUCACUUUGAUGUCCCAAUUUAUUGCUCGUUAGGCUUAUUUUUAAUGCUUCAGAUAAGUGAGCUAAUAACUAAUCCAUUUCCUCUUUGUUUAUUCCUAUUUCUUUUUGCUAUACAUCAUGGAACGAGAACAUACAAACAUAUGUGUUAGGAUCAGAAGAAAAUUCUAUAAGGAUGUGAGAUUUUCCGACGAGAUCCAAAUAGCUUUCCUACCGUUUUGGAUUGGAAGCGCUAGCUCUUAUCUUCCCGAUUAAUAUUUCUACUUAAAAUCACUUAUGUGCUCCACCUCAAUAAUUUUGUUUUAUGUAAAUUAUAUUUCUACUUCAGAAAUAAUUGAAUCUUUACUGGAAGUUUGAUUUCUUAUUGAUAUUGAAUUCGUUGCAUCUCAAAGAAUUGAAUAGAGGUGUUAAUUAUGAUAUACAUAUGAAGUCUCUGCAAGGGGAAAUUUGUCUUACCAAGCCAGGGUUCUAUUUCAUGGUGGAUAUUUUUUUUAAAAUUGCUACAAGUAGAGAAAUUGACGUUUUGAUGGAUAAAAAAGUUUUGUGGAUGUUACAUUUUUCUCAAAUAUCUGUGGAUAUUGUGAAGUCUAGUUGCUGGAAAACUCUAGCUGCCAGUAUAUGAUGACAUUGCUUCUGAACCAAAAGUUAAAGAAAAUGUUCUAAUGUUGUUGGCCUAAGAGUAAUAAUUCUUCUCUUGAUUAUUUGUUGGAAAGGAAGAUGGGAAGGGAAGAAAAAUGAGGGGAAGAAGCUGAUGAUUAUUAUUGUAAGUUUCGAUCAAAUGACUCACUUCUUCCAGGCUUACAUAAUGAUGUUGCAUUAACAUCAGUGGAGAAAUUUGUUCUGAACCUAACACACAUGCUUACUUCUCAGCAAUACAUCUUACUGCUUUAUUAUUUGUUGUAUAUACUUGUGGAUGAGCCUGGCACACAAUUGUUCGAUUCCUGGUUCUACACAUUGUUUUAUUCAUCAGAUCGCACAUGUAGUUAGUAAGGUAUUCAUGACUGAGGAAGAUGUCAGUUCACGUCCAUGUCUUGGUAAAGUUCAGGACAUCAAUGGAAAAUGGGAUUAUGGCAAAUGAGAUAGUUUUUCCUUCUUAACACACAAGCACAUUACAUUAAGUUGACGAAGUGAAAAAAAAAAUCAAUUGCUACAAUGAA